rnacentral:rRNA from 1 species
UACGUAGGGUGCGAGCGUUGUCCGGAAUUAUUGGGCGUAAAGAGCUCGUAGGCGGUGUGUCACGUCGGCCGUGAAAACCUGCAGCUUAACUGUGGGCGUGCGGUCGAUACGGGCAUCACUGGAGUUCGGCAGGGGAGACUGGAAUUCCUGGUGUAGCGGUGAAAUGCGCAGAUAUCAGGAGGAACACCGGUGGCGAAGGCGGGUCUCUGGGCCGAUACUGAGACACGAAGGCCAGGGGAGCAAACGGG